rnacentral:rRNA from 1 species
GAUGAACGCUGGCGGCGUGCCUAAUACAUGCAAGUAGAACGCUGAAGGAGGAGCUUGCUCUUCUGGAUGAGUUGCGAACGGGUGAGUAACGCGUAGGUAACCUGCCUGGUAGCGGGGGAUAACUAUUGGAAACGAUAGAUAAUACCGCAUGACAACAGUUAUUGCAUGAUAACUGUUUAAAAGGGGCAACUGCUCUACUACCAGAUGGACUUGCGUUGUAUUAGCUAGUUGGUGUGGUAACGGCUCACCAAGGCGACGAUACAUAGCCGACCUGAGAGGGUGAUCGGACACGCUGGGACGGGGACACGGCCCAGACUCCUCCGGGAGGCGGCAGUAGGGAAUCGUCGGCAAGGGACGGAAGUCUAACCGGGCAACGCCACGUGGGUGAAGAAAGUUUUCGGAUCGUAAAGCACUGUUGUAAGGGAAGAACGGAUGGGAAGGUAGAAAGUUCACAAGGUGACGUUAUCUUACCAGAAAGGGACGGCUAACUACGUG